rnacentral:rRNA from 1 species
AGCGAACGCUGGCGGCAGGCCUAACACAUGCAAGUCGAACGCACCUUCGGGUGAGUGGCGGACGGGUGAGUAACACGUGGGAACGUACCUUUUGGUUCGGAACAACACUGGGAAACUUAGUGCUAAUACCGGAUGAGCCCUAUGGGGGAAAGGGAAUUUAUUCGCCGAAACGAAGCGGCCCGCCGUUAGUAUAGUCUAGUUGG